UGUAAAAUGUAACCAUAAUUUGGAACCCUUCCCAGGAGAAUUGAUGUCGUUUCCCUUUUCCUGUCUUCAGUGUAAAUGAUGAGAAUCAUUUUGCUUUGCUUAGGCUGUAGGAGCAAGAUUUUUAAUUGGUUGGUCUUCAUCCCUCCCCACCCCACCCCAGCAUACAUUUCAAUAUAAGUAUAUAUAUUUUUCAUUUUUCCCCCAGAACAGGUGGGAAGGCUCCAUUCUGCUAGUUAAUUAUUCUUUUAAUUUCUUUUAUGGCUUAGUCUAAGUAUCUGAGGGCUGCAAAUAGCUUUGUAGUGUGUAAAAUGGAAUGUUGGACAUCAGUCUUGUUGCGAACUACUCGCCCAAGCCAAAUAACAAUUCCUUCUAGGUAAAGUAGCACAUUGGGUCCAAUACUCCAGCUGUCCUGUGACAUGGGAUUGUCUCUCUUGUGACCUGCUAAAAGUUAUGAGAAAGUGCAUUUGGGGUGUUCCUGUAGAAGGCUGUAUUUGUUCCACCAUUAUCAGAAUGCAGUUGUACCCUGUCAACAGGUACACUUGAACAAAAUUUGUGGUCCCGAUCUCCAUGACGAGCAAUAUUUUCUGAUGACAUUGACCUAAUAUUGCUGAUGACUAAAUGGAAUCGGAUUCUGUGAAAGAAAAGGAGCUUAAAAGUCACGGUUGAAACUGAGAAGCAUACUUAAGGAAAUAGUUCAGUAACACUAUUGAUUUGGCUGGUGUUUACUGCAUUGCUUUAGGAUGUAAUAUAUGACAGCCCUCAUGUUAUAAUUCCCCCCUCCUGCAUUGGUGUGAUGUGGCUCUGUUCUUCUCUUUUAAACAGGGUUUGUCCCAGAUACCAUUCCAUUAUCACAGGAGAGCCGUGGUUGCUGGUAAACAUCUCGCAGGUAGAACUCGUGUCAGUGCAGUGAAUGAUGAUUUAUCUUUGAGAGAGUCAGUAAUUAAAGGAUUUACUUGUGGGACUGUGAGUUCCUUCCUGUUGCAGGACAGAUAUCUCAGGUAAGUGAGUUAUGGGAUUCUGUGUAAUACCGCAAGCUUUCUUUUAGCAGACCUACAGUUAAAAACAGGGAUAUUACCUAGAUGUUUUCAGAUUGGAAUAGAAACCCACUGUGAUACUGUAGGGACACCCUUUAAUUAAAAGACAAACUACCGACUUCUGUCUUCCUGUUUGGUAUUCUUGAGGGUUUCCAUAAGCAGCAGUAAAGAGGUUACUAUGAAUCAGAGAAUUACAGAUUUGUAGAGUUGGGAGGGAGUCCCGAAGGUCCACACUCGAAGCAAAUUUCAUACACUUUCUAUCUAGUAACAGCCAACACUGGAUUUCCCCCCCCCCCCAUGAGUUCUUGUGGACAGUGCGUUCUGUUUGACAACUAGCUCUUUCUUAAAGAAGCUUUACGUUAAGCCUUAAAUCAAGAGUAGAAAGUGUGGAGUCCAGUCUAAUUUGCUCAUUUUCCUAGAUAUUGUCCUCCUUUUAAAAUGGGUCUAUUGACAUAGAAAGCCUCCUCUGUAUUAUUUAUUUUCUUACACUUAUAUGCCAGCUUUUUCUAUCUUGGAAAGGAAGUCAGAAACAGUUUAACUUUUGAAAAUGUGUGUUUUUUUUAAAUCUUCUUUGCAGAAAGGUUGUUUGUCCUUUUGAGGCACCACUGCAGAACCAAAACAGGACUUUCCCCCUCUUUUCGUGUAGCGAGACUUGCGUUUUUUCAGUCAUCCAGACUAUAAUUCUCUAAGUCAAGCUGAUCUGCAUAUGGCUUCUGUUAUUGGCUGUGUUUAAUUGCUGUACUUAGUUUUUAGUUCCCUAUGUCCGUCCCCCCCCCUUAAAACCCACAUGAUGCUGAUUCCCAUGAGUCUGUGAAGAUUCUGAAUUGGCAUCAUAUGCGGCAGUCUGAUGAAGUGAUAAGUAUUUCACACUCUGGUUCUUCAUCUUUUAUGGUGUGCAAGUUAAAGAUCCCUUUCAUACUCAAGUAAAUGAAUAAAAAGAACCCCUUUUCACAUCUGGAAGACCUUGUGUAUCUUUGGCCAAUGAGACUAUAUGACAUCA
ensembl:lncRNA